CGGCCGCGUCGACGACAGCUAGGAUGUUGGCUUGGAAGCAGCCAUUCAUUUAAAGAGUGCGUAACAGCUCACUAGUCGAGGAGUUUGGCGUGGAUAAUAAUCGGGCAUAAAACUAUUUACCGAAGCAGUGGAUCUCGUAAGAGAUGGUAGGGGAGCAUUCCGGCGGCGCUGAAGAUAGAGGAUGACCUCUGUUGGAGCUUCCGGAAAAGCAAAUGUAGGUAUAAGUAACGAUAAAGGAGGUGAGAAACCUCCUCGCCGAAAGCUAAGGUUUCCUGAUCAACGUUAAUCGGAUCAGGGUAAGUCGGGACCUAAAGAUAAGCCGAACGGCGAAGCCGAUGGAAGAAACGGUUAAUAUUCCGUUACUACUUUAUGGAGUGACGUGGAGACGGAGAAGUGACAGUCCUGCCGGCUGACGGAAUAGCCGGUUGAAGGGUGUAGAUGUAGAUCUUUGUAGGCAAAUCCGCAGAGAGAGUCGAACCUGACAGUAUGCCGCGUACUUGUACAAGGCAAAAUGGAUGUAAUCAGGCUCCCUAGAAAAUCCGCUAAAC
rnacentral:rRNA from 1 species